CAGUCGCCGCGGUAAUACAGAGGGUGCGAGCGUUAAUCGGAUUUACUGGGCGUAAAGCGUGCGUAGGCGGCUUUUUAAGUCGGAUGUGAAAUCCCUGAGCUUAACUUAGGAAUUGCAUUCGAUACUGGGAAGCUAGAGUAUGGGAGAGGAUGGUAGAAUUCCAGGUGUAGCGGUGAAAUGCGUAGAGAUCUGGAGGAAUACCGAUGGCGAAGGCAGCCAUCUGGCCUAAUACUGACGCUGAGGUACGAAAGCAUGGGGAGCAAACAGGAUUAGAUAUCCCAGUAGUCCCUGUCUCUUAUAC
rnacentral:rRNA from 1 species